GGCUCUGUAGUGUAGUGGUUAUCACGUCUGCUUCACCCGCGGAAGGUCCUGGGUUCAAACCCCGGUAGAACCA